GAUGAACGCUGGCGGCGUGCCUAAUACAUGCAAGUCGAGCGAACAGACGAGGAGCUUGCUCCUUUGACGUUAGCGGCGGACGGGUGAGUAACACGUGGGUAACCUACCUAUAAGACUGGGAUAACUUCGGGAAACCGGAGCUAAUACCGGAUAAUAUUUCGAACCGCAUGGUUCGAUAGUGAAAGAUGGCCUUGCUAUCACUUAUAGAUGGACCUGCGCCGUAUUAGCUAGUUGGUAAGGUAACGGCUUACCAAGGCAACGAUACGUAGCCGACCUGAGAGGGUGAUCGGCCACACUGGAACUGAGACACGGUCCAGACUCCUACGGGAGGCAGCAGUAGGGAAUCUUCCGCAAUGGGCGAAAGCCUGACGGAGCAACGCCGCGUGAGUGAUGAAGGUCUUCGGAUCGUAAAACUCUGUUAUUAGGGAAGAACAAACGUGUAAGUAACUGUGCACGUCUUGACGGUACCUAAUCAGAAAGCCACGGCUAACUACGUG
rnacentral:rRNA from 1 species